rnacentral:rRNA from 1 species
UGGGGAAUAUUGGACAAUGGGCGCAAGCCUGAUCCAGCCAUGCCGCGUGAGUGACGAAGGUCUUCGGAUUGUAAAGCUCUUUUGGCGGGGACGAUAAUGACGGUACCCGCAGAAUAAGCCCCGGCUAACUUCGUGCCAGCAGCCGCGGUAAUACGAAGGGGGCUAGCGUUGUUCGGAAUUACUGGGCGUAAAGCGCACGUAGGCGGACUGAUAAGUCAGGGGUGAAAUCCCGGGGCUCAACCUCGGAACUGCCUUUGAUACUGCGGAUCUCGAGUCCGAUAGAGGUGGGUGGAAUUCCUAGUGUAGAGGUGAAAUUCGUAGAUAUUAGGAAGAACACCGGUGGCGAAGGCGGCCCACUGGAUCGGUACUGACGCUGAGGUGCGAAAGCGUGGGGAGCAAACAGGAUUAGAUACCCAAGUAGUCCCUGAGCGGGCUGGCAAGGCGCAU